rnacentral:sRNA from 1 species
CCAUGAACAACGCAAAAAAUCACAUUCUUCAAAAAGCGUUCCUACGAGGAUAAUCUUUUACAGAUAGCCUAUGAAGUACGGAAAUCGUCAUACAGAAUGGAGAGGGAUGUGGGAGGUAAUCCCAUAUAGGGUCGAUCUUGGGUGCAGUGCCUGCCUUACACAUGGCAGGGACUGCAAUGAUUGACUGUACAU